UACGUAGGGGGCGAGCGUUGUCCGGAUUCAUUGGGCGUAAAGAGCUCGUAGGCGGUUUGUCGCGUCUGCUGUGAAAACUCGAGGCUCAACCUCGGGCUUGCAGUGGGUACGGGCAGACUAGAGUGCGGUAGGGGUGACUGGAAUUCCUGGUGUAGCGGUGGAAUGCGCAGAUAUCAGGAGGAACACCGAUGGCGAAGGCAGGUCACUGGGCCGCAACUGACGCUGGAGG
rnacentral:rRNA from 1 species